rnacentral:misc_RNA from 1 species
GAGGGAGAAAAAAAAAAAAAAAAAGAAAGGGUCACUCCUGAGGACAGGAUCUCAAUUCUCAAAGAUGAACUAUUGACAAGCAUUUUUGCAAAGCUCACUGUGCUUUUUCCAGAUGGCACUUGGUAGUGAUAAAAAUUUGCGAUUAUUAGAUGAUUUGUUUGGAUAAUGUUGUUAAAGUAAUUUCGGAGUUAAAAUAGGGAAAGAAAUAGGUGGUUUGUGUACUAUCAUGUAGGUGAGUUUAUAUGAUGAUAAAUCAAAAAAGAAAAACGUUUGGGCAUACCAUAUUGUUUUCUAAAAGAAAAUAUUGAAAUUAUGAAACUGAAUCACAAUUGAAUGAGGACUCUGAAAUGUUGAUGCAUAAAGGGCGCAAGGUUCAGGCUCAUUUUCUGAUAGUAAUUUAAUGCUAAGGCAUUAAUAAAUAGGCAAGGACAAUUUUAAAGGUUAAAUGGCCUUCAAUAACUAGGAGAAGAAAAUUUUACGGAGAUUGAAGAAUAUGUUUUUAUUUUUAUUUUUUCUUUUUCCUUUUUCAAGAAUUAUGCAUGUGACAGCAUAUUAUUUCAAGCAGUCAACAAAGGAAGGGGGAAAAAAUACUAGCAAAAUUUAUACAAAAUUCUCAUAUUGAAUGAUAUCAGGUAGACAGCAAAUAAUGAGCCAGCGUGUCAGAUAGACAACAACGAGCCAUAGGGGCAAGAAUAUCAAUUUUCCAUAUUUAUCCUACAAUUUAUCAAUAUGCCAACUUGGUGGAUCAAGGGGACAGAAAUCCAACCAAAACAACAAAUUCACUAAAAAAUGGCCAUCCAGUCUGCAUCUCCUCGUUUUUUCUCCUGUCUCCAUGAAUGCGAGGGACAUUACUGCUCUCAUGGGCAAAAAUUCAUUAUGCUCUUCAUUUAUCUGCUGCUUCAUCUUGUAAAUCGGUGCUGCCAUUAGUUUCCCACGAAUUUUGCAUGCAGCAUCAGCGUAAAGAACAUAUAGGUGAGAUGGGCUGCCAAGCAAUCUGCCACAUUUAAGGCAAUUCAUCUAAAAUGCAUGAUGUGCCUGACUUCAACUUCAGGCCUUUGCCAUAUGCAGCAAUAAGUAAGGCCUCAGCUCUUCCUGCGACCAUCAAAAACUAAAAAAGAUGGAUUUAUCCAUAAUUUUUUGGUGCUAGAGCUAGUAAUACCCAUAUGUCCCAGUAAAAUUUGUAAGUUUUGAGAAAAAUGAUUCUCAUUUAUGUAAAAGAUGCCAGCCAUACUACAGAUGAAGUUUAAAAUGGUAAUACUCAAAUGUCCCAGCAAAAUUUGCAAGUUUUUGAGAAAAUUGAUUCUCAUUUAUGUAAAGAUGCCAGCCAAACAGCUGAUGAAGUUUAAAAUGGUCUUACUGACACAGGACUGAAGCGCAGUAGCAAGGCAUAGAUGAAUUUCCUAUUGCAGUAUCACAUAAGGGAUCCACCACCAUUGGUCUUCAUCAUUUUAACUAGUUCAUUGACUAGAUGAAUUCCAGGUGCAUGAAAUUUGCAGAUUGCAUUGUUCUUAUUAAUGAGACCAGAUCUCAGGUAAAUCAUAAGUUGGAAUUACAGAGUACCCUAAAAUUUUUCAAACUAUACAGAGCUAAAAACUAAAAUGCUUGCACUGCAACUUUGGUAAUGCUAGCAAACAGAGGAAUAUUAGAGUAAAACUAGAAGGUGUUAAGUUCCACAAAGGAACCAUUUCUGUUAUAUGAGUCUAUCAUGAUGUGAGAGAGGAAUAUCAAAGACAAGUUGAGGAAAGGAGGCUAAAAUUUGUAUGAUCAUAUCCAACAUAGCCCUGAUGAUGCACUGCCUUGGAAAAGUAAGCAGAUUCAUGUGAUGGGGAAAAAAAGGAGAAACUAUAGACAUAAAAAUAUCUGAACUUAUGUGGUAAAGAAAGGAGGUAAUAUCUUGAUAGAUGGUAGAAUAUGUUGGCGCUUACUUUACUAGAUGGAAUCAUGGAGAAGAAUCCAUAUGGUUGAUCCCAAUUAGACUAGGCUUAGUCAAACUGAGUGGAUAGUUUAGAUUGCUGGCAAGCAAGCUCCAUAAUGUAAAUUCAAAAUAGGGAGGUUAGGAGGUGAUUAGUUUACCAAGCUUGGAACUUCUAAAUUCACAUGACAAUCAUGAAAUUGAGCCAAUUUUGAAACUUAGUCACAUGCAGAACUCUUAACAAAUCACAAGGGAUAAGUUGAACUAUUGAAAAUUGAAAGUUCCAUUGAAAAACAUGUGUCCAGGCCAUCCAAGAGAUACCAAUUCAAGCAGGAAGUCCAAGACCUUUUGCUCUCCAUAAUCCAUUAAAAUAAUGAUACUUUAAAGAGUUAAGGAGAAAUAAAAAUUACCAUGGUCCUUUUUCCUUGUUAAUAAAGAACUCAAUGAUGGAAAUAAUGUUGAUGCAACCCUUCGACUAUCAUCCUUUGUACGGUUGCUUCCAGAUAGUUCAUAUUCAUUCUUCCACGUUACAGAUGGUACUGGAACUACAGAGUAUCCAGAUGCCACUAACAUGCCGAUCCAUAAUCCAUAACCAAAUCCUCCACUCCACCAUCCCUGUUUCCCAUCUUUUGGAUAUGGGAUUGAUUGCUCAAUGUAUGCAGUAGUUCCUGAAAUAAGAAAAAGCACAAUUCUUGUGUAGUUUUUCAAGUAUAAUAGCUGUUGAUGACAGAAAUUAAGAGAUGCAGGUAUCAUAACCAUGUAUAAUCAAAGGUUAUAAAAUGAACACACAAAAAAUCAACUAAUGCAAACUAGAAUUGUCUGAUGGAUAGGAACAGAUGAGCAAAUUGCAAAGCCAUACAGCAUAAUCAGAAAGAAGUAAGAAACACAUAGCUUAAUUCAUACAAUAAACACAAGAAAUACAAGGUUUUAUGAUAGCAAUAGAAGCAAAAUAAGCUGAUCAACCACCGUUGUUUUGUCUUAGAUAUGCGAUUCAUUAUAACUGUAUGCACUUAGAUAAUGUCAUGGCACUGUCAUUCUCUGUCUUAUUAGUGAAGUUUCAUUCUAAAAAGACCACCAUUUCUAAUCCCACUUUAUUUUUGUUUCUCAAUGAAAUCAGCUCCACCUCUCACAUUUUGGAAGUAUCUGAGAGCCAUUGAUGAUCUCCAUAACAAUCAAGAGAUGGUGAAUUUUAGUCUUCACUCUCAAUGUGGCCACUGGCCAGAGAAAAACAAAUAGCUAGGAGAGGAACCAAUGCACCUUCAACACAGUGACAGACACAAGUAAAUGCAUAUUGAUACGCCACUCAUUGUGCGAAAAAAAUAACCAUGGACUAAUAAUAAAGCAUUUAGAAUUAAAAAUUAAAACAGUUCGAGAAUAACAAUCAUCUUGAUAAAGAUAACCAUACCAACUGGAGCAUCAAAACUACGAAGCAACUGAACAAUAGACUUAGCAUCUAAACGCUUUCGAAUUCUUUUUCCAACCAACACUUUCAAGUAAGGAGCAUCAAACACCUGAGCAGAACAACCGGACUCAUCAGUUUUCAAGAGGGCAAGAGCACCGGAAAUAUCUGGGUCGAUACCGAUGGCCCAUUCGGAACCCACAUUGCUCUGGGUGGAAUCAGCUCCACCGCAAGCAGAAAGCUCAGUUUGAUUAUCAGGAUAUGGGUAAGAAAGAGAGUCUAACCAGUCCUCCUUCAAUCGUCUUGCAGCUUCAGCUACGUUAGCCCUAACCCUGACACGGUCCCCUGAAGCACUACUAUUACUGCUGCUGCUUGUUCUCAAGGCAUGAGAUGAAGUUAAAGGAUUGGUCGUGCAAAAGGGUUUUAGGCAAGAUAGAGAGGGGAUUGAAGAGAAAUUGGGUUUGAGCCUUGAAAAGAGUGAGUUCAUGAAUUGGGGUUUUGGAGAUUGCAGGCUUUGUGUUCUGAUUUUGAGGGUUUCCAUUCCAUGCAGAGUUUGUACCGAGAGAGAAAAAAUACAGAUUUCGAACUUCAAAUUUAG